rnacentral:rRNA from 1 species
AUUGAACGCUGGCGGCAGGCCUAACACAUGCCAGUCGAACGGUAACAGGAAGCAGCUUGCUGCUUCGCUGACGAGUGGCGGACGGGUGAGUAAUGUCUGGGAAGCUGCCUGAUGGAGGGGGAUAACUACUGGAAACGGUAGCUAAUACCGCAUAAUGUCGCAAGACCAAAGAGGGGGACCUUCGGGCCUCUUGCCAUCGGAUGUGCCCAGAUGGGAUUAGCUUGUUGGUGGGGUAACGGCUCACCAAGGCGACGAUCCCUAGCUGGUCUGAGAGGAUGACCAGCCACACUGGAACUGAGACACGGUCCAGACUCCUACGGGAGGCAGCAGUGGGGAAUAUUGCACAAUGGGCGCGAGCCUGAUGCAGCCAUGCCGCGUGUAUGAAGAAGGCCUUCGGGUUGUAAAGUACUUUCAGCGGGGAGGAAGGGAGUAAAGUUAAUACCUUUGCUCAUUGACGUUACCCGCAGAAGAAGCACCGGCUAACUCCGUG